ACCAAUUGUUGAAGAAAGAUGAUCUUGGUGAAUAAAUGGAAAAAUAAUUUAUGGAGUUUUGCUUAUCACAAUAGAGAAGUGGCUUCCUUGCAGCAAUUCAGAGAUUUAUCAUAGAGUACUUUUCCUUUAUUUGUCUAAUUUCUAUGCCCAAUUAGGAUUAAGAAGGGGUGGGGGGGGGAGAAAGGGGAAAAAAAUCUACAACAACCACAAUUGUUGAAAAAAGUAUUAAUGAGCAAAUUGAUAAAAUGACGAAACUGUACCAACAGAGGAGUGACUUUCUUGCAGGAACUCAAUGAUAUUCACUAAAUAUUAUCUGUCCAUUUCUUUAUUUCUCUACUUUCUCUGCCCAGGAUUCAGGAAUAAUUUCGGAUGACAGCUAAAAAUUAAAAUUCAAUUGUACAUAAAUCACAUUGUUAUAACAUCUUUUAACCAUGUCCCGAUGAUAAGAAGGUAAACUAUGUCAAAAGGCAAGUAUGUGGUGGGUCCUUGCUGGUUCAUCCUGGAGUUGCUACCUUUGAUUCCAGAUCAAAACCAUUAAACAGUGGUACUUGACUAUUUCCCCCUAGACAAAAUCAAAUUUUUUUUUCUGUUAACAUGUAUAUGAACUGCCUGCACAAAAACCUCCCAAAAUCCAGGAAUGAGUAGACAACCACUCCCUCCAUUCUGCAAAGACUUUUGUUUCCAUUUUCAUAGAUUAAGGGUUAGGGUGCCUUGGUGAAAAUCAGUGUUUUCAAUAUGGAUUUUAAAUUCAUGUUUUUUUUUUUGGUAAAAUAGUGAGAAAAUGUCAACUUCAAAACAAGCAGUUAAUGAGACUGCAAAAUGGAGCCAAGCAAAUGUAGACACACUUAUUGUUCUGAUGGUAGAGGAAGUUAAGAAAGGAAAUAGGACUACUUCAACUUUUAAUAAAGCUGGUUGGAACAACAUUGCCAAUAACUUCAAAGAAAAAACUGGGGUCAACUAUGCCAUUGUAUAGUUGAAGAACAAAGUGAACAAACUCAGGCAGGAUUAUAGUCAGUUUAAGAAGCUAUUGGAGACAACUGGUUUUGGUUGGGAUACUGCUUCAAGAACUUGUACUGUUGAUGAUGAAUCCAUCUGGGAAUCGCAUAUUAAGGAUAACCCUACUUGGGCACGAUUUAAGAAGCACGGACUACCACAAUGGCCAGAACUAUGUAUGGUAUUUGGUGAUACAUAUGCAAACGGCGAAGGAAGUGGGACUCAAACAACUAUGUUGGAAACUUUGAGGGCCGAUGAUGCUAGGAAUAUGAUUGAGUCUUGUGAUGAGUCAAGUUCCGCUGAUGAAGUUACUCCAUUGGGUGACACUCAAACUGAAGCAGUGGAAAAAAGGCCAGCUACUAAGCAUAGGCAUGAUAGGACUCCAAAUGCGAAAAGGAGGAGGAGCAAGUCUAAUGAUUGGUCAAUGGCAUGCAAAGCAAUUCAAGAUAUGAGUAAAUCAAGGGAAAACGAGAUGCGAGCAUGUCCACUGCUUCAACCCAAAAUACGGAACAGAUGUACGGGAUUACUAGGGCCAUGGAGGUGCUUGAGUCAGCAUAUGAGUUAGAUGAAGCACUAUACGAGAAAGCACUUCGGAAUUAAUAGCUGACCCGCAAUGGAGAGAAGCAUUAAUUUCCUGCCCUCCUCAUCAGAAGUCAAUACUCCUUUGUACCCUUCAGUAGUUUGCUUCAUGAAAAGUUCUUUUAAUUAGAUAGAUUGAUAACUCUACUUGGAUUGUGCCUUGACACUACUUUUAACUUUGAUGGUUUGCUAUGUUUUCCUUCACUUUUUAAGA